CAGCGCUUCCGAAUUCUCUUCGGCGUCUGGGCGUCCGCGCCCUCCUGGGGCCUCGGCCUUCUGAGGCGAAGGGGCCAGGGGAGGCCCGGGUUAGCGAGGCCAUGUCCGACUCUGGCCUGCCUGCGCGGCCCCGCUCGUUCCACGUCAGCGCUUUGUCACUCCCAGCCGAGGGCCUGCGCGCCGCCGACAAGUACUCCCGAGGCGCGGGCCGAUGUGGGAUGGUGCAGGACUUCUGGGAGCCACAAAUGCUCCUUUUCCUGGAGGUGUGACCCAAGGUGAGCUGUUACACCCUCUUCCUGGCAGCCUGUGCUCCCACCCCGGAAUCCUGCGCUUCUUCUCUGUCCUGCCUCUCCAGUUUGCUUCUACCCCACUGGCUGCAGGCAAAUGUUCUUUUCAGCCUCACUAAUCCCCGUGGCCGGUGUGUAACUCCCCAGAGCCCAGCCGGAGACUUCCAAUCCCGCCCCUUGGCCCGCCGAGCGUUGUGUGGGCAGGUCUGGAGGUCCGGAGAGAGUUGGGGCUCAUCCCGACCCCUUCCCGGCUCCCACGCCACCCCCACCGGCCCCAGGAGACCUGCGCAGAGAAGCCCAUGGGUUCUGAAAACUGCGCCCAGAGACACUGCCCACUCUGAGUCCAGACGAGUGCUUGCCUCCUCGGCUCUCCUGGGGUCCUACAGCCUGCCCCUGCCCGUCCUCUAGUCAGGAAGAUUCCACACCGCGCAGGAGGCCAGAGUGCGUUUGGGUCCCCAGUCCUUGGUCAGUAAAAUCCGCCCCAUUGUGAGUGUAUGAGCAAAAAAUUCCAACAAUAAACCUAACACAUAUAUGGCACUUACAGUGUGCCGAGUACUGUUCUAAGCGCCUUCCCACAUAUUCACUCAACUGAAAUAGAAAUGGGUUC